rnacentral:rRNA from 1 species
AUGCCCCUAGACUUCACCAAGCACUUCAUCGUCGUGCCGACGGAGUGCAAGCUGAGGAACAAUACCAGCUGCUCCUGGAGGGUGACAGUGAAGCUGAUGAACAGGAUGACUCUGGAUCAGGGUUGGGCCACCUACGCCGCCGUUCAUCAGAUCAAGAUCGGCUACAUGGUGGCGUUCAAGCUCCUCACUCCUGACACCCUCAAGGUCAUCAUCUUCGACGACGAUGACGUUGAGGUGGUCAACAAGUGCGGGAAGCACAACAAAGCCUUCGUCGCCAAGGACUAG